GAUGAACGCUGGCGGCGUGCCUAAUACAUGCAAGUCGAGCGAACGGACGAGAAGCUUGCUUCUCUGAUGUUAGCGGCGGACGGGUGAGUAACACGUGGAUAACCUACCUAUAAGACUGGGAUAACUUCGGGAAACCGGAGCUAAUACCGGAUAAUAUUUUGAACCGCAUGGUUCAAAAGUGAAAGACGGUCUUGGUGUCACUUAUAGAUGGAUCCGCGCUGCAUUAGCUAGUUGGUAGGGUAACGGCUUACCAAGGCAACGAUGCGUAGCUGGCCUGAGAGGGAGACCAGCCACAAUGGGACUGAGACACGCACCAGACUCCUACGGGAGGCAGCAGUGGGGAAUUGUGGACAAUGGGCGAAAGCCUGACCCAGCAAUGCCGCGUGUGUGAAGAAGGCCUUCGGGUUGUAAAGCACUUUUGUCCGGAAAGAAAUCCUUGGCCCUAAUACGGUCUGGGGAUGACGGUACCGGAAGAAUAAGCACCGGCUAACUACGUG
rnacentral:rRNA from 1 species